ACUUAAAAAAAAAAUUAAUCUUAUGCUCUCUCUCUAGUGAAACCACCCUUUACUCCCUUCUCCAAAUCCGCCGCUUGCGGCCUCCCACCACGUAAUCCUUGUUUUUGGUGGUGCGAUGAGUGGUGUUAGGCCCUUCGCACCACCAUUUACUCAUAUUUACUAUUCGGACGACGAAUUUCCUUCUCUGUUCCUUGUCUUCUCCUUCAAGAUUCGGUGAUCUAGCUUGUCUCUUCCACCGUCCUUCGUUUGAAGGUGAUUGUUAGUAAGCUUCUGCGUUUUGGUUGGUGAUUCAAGGUUCGGAGCCAAGUUAGUGGGUUUGGGGUUUUUUUCGCCCGGUGGCUCUUCUUUCUCUUUUCAGAUUCAAAAUAGGUUGGUUCAUUGUCUUCUCGGUGGAUCUUGCCUUUCAAAUCGGUUUAGGCUCAGGUUUCGCCGUUUUUUAGUUUUCGUGUUCUGUUGUUGCUUGUUUGUCAUCGUUUUGUGUUACUAUUCAUGUUUGUUUUGCGCUUCUGUGUGUUUUUGUUACGACAUUAGGUGGUGGCAUCAUAUAUGGCUUUGCGGUGGUUUGGUUGCUUAAACCUGAAGGUCAGUUGAGAUCUGCAGGUCUCAAGACUUCAUGGAUGCCUCUUCUCCGGCACUUCUUAUCCAUCCCAGUUUUGCGAUUGAGAUUGAAAUGUUAUGCUCGAAAGAGCUUUUAUGCCUGCUGCAUUGUUUGAGGGGUUGUUGGUACGUGGAUUGGUGAUCGAUCCAUUCGCCAAUUGUGAACCUGGUUGAUCUUAUGGACGCUCACUCUUCACUUUUUUUGUAAUAUGGUUUCGUGCUCGUACGCGAGUUCGCUAGGUUGCGCUCGUGAUAAAUGUUUGUUUUAUUAGGAUUGAUUAGGUUGGUCCAUGUGGUUUGUAUUUUUAUGUGUUAUAUCCACUUGGAUUGUACCUCAAUCAGCUUUUAUAUCCCCUAGUCUCUCUAUCUCGUUUUAUUUAUUUAUUAUAAC